rnacentral:rRNA from 1 species
AUUGAACGCUGGCGGCAUGCUUUACACAUGCAGGUCGAACGGCAGCAUGAUCUAGCUUGCUAGAUUGAUGGCGAGUGGCGAACGGGUGAGUAAUACAUCGGAACGUGCCCUGUAGUGGGGGAUAACUAGUCGAAAGAUUAGCUAAUACCGCAUACGACCUGAGGGUGAAAGUGGGGGACCGCAAGGCCUCAUGCUAUAGGAGCGGCCGAUGUCUGAUUAGCUAGUUGGUGAGGUAAAGGCUCACCAAGGCGACGAUCAGUAGCUGGUCUGAGAGGACGAUCAGCCACACUGGGACUGAGACACGGCCCAGACUCCUACGGGAGGCAGCAGUGGGGAAUUUUGGACAAAGGGCGAAAGCCUGAUCCAGCAAUGCCGCGUGUGUGAAGAAGGCCUUCGGGUUGUAAAGCACUUUUGUCCGGAAAGAAAUGGCUCUGGUUAAUACCUGGGGUCGAUGACGGUACCGGAAGAAUAAGGACCGGCUAACUACGUG